rnacentral:rRNA from 1 species
AACUAACGCUGGCGGCGUGCCUAACACAUGCAAGUCGAACGAGAAAGUUGGCUUCGGCCGAUGAGUAAAGUGGCGCACGGGUGAGUAACGCGUGGAUAAUCUGCCCUUUAGUUUGGAAUAACGUACCGAAAGGUGCGCUAAUACCGGAUAAUACUGAAUGACUACUGUCGUUUAGUCAAAGAAGGCUUCUGUUUACAUGCUUUUGCUGAAGGAUGAGUCCGCGUACCAUAGCUAGUUGGUAGGGUAAUGGCCUACCAAGGCGACGAUGGUUAGCUGGUCUGAAAGGAUGAUCAGCCACACUGGAACUGAGACACGGUCCAGACUCCUACGGGAGGCAGCAGUGAGGAAUAUUGCGCAAGGGGGGCAACCCUGACGCAGCAACGCCGCGUGAGUGAGGAAGGUUUUCGGACCGUAAAGCUCUGUCGAGCGGGAAGAAAUGCAUGGUGGCUAAUAUCCAUCAUGCUUGACGGUACCGCUAAAGGAAGCACCGGCUAACUCCGUGCCAGCAGCCGCCGUAAAAC